rnacentral:rRNA from 1 species
AGCGAACGCUGGCGGCACGCCUAACACAUGCAAGUCGAACGAACCUUUCGGGUUUAGUGGCGGACGGGUGAGUAACACGUGGGAACGUGCCCUCAGGUUCGGAAUAACUCAGGGAAACUUGUUCGAAUACCGAAUGUGCCCUUCGGGGGAAAGAUUUAUCGCCUUUAGAGCGGCCCGCGUCUGAUUAGCUAGUUGGUUGGGGUAAUGGCUAACCAGGGGAACGAUCCGUACUUGUCUGGAGGGGUGGGUGACCAACAUUGGACGUGGGCCACGCCCCAAACCCCUCCGGGAGGCAGCAUGGGGGAACCUCGCCAAACGGGCGAAAGCCUGACCCACCAGCGCCGGGUGAAUGAUGAAGGUCUUAGGAUGGUAAAAUUCUUUCACCGGGAACGUUAAUGACGGUACCCGAAAAAAAAGACCCGGCGAACUCCAC